rnacentral:rRNA from 1 species
UCGAGAAUUUUUCUCAAUGGGGGAAACCCUGAAGGAGCGACGCCGCGUGGAGGAUGAAGGUCUUCGGAUUGUAAACUCCUGUCAUUGAAGAACAAAACAGGUAAGUUAACUGCUUAUCUGUCGAUAGUAUUCGAAGAGGAAGGGACGGCUAACUCUGUGCCAGCAGCCGCGGUAAUACAGAGGUCCCAAGCGUUGUUCGGAUUCAUUGGGCGUAAAGGGAGCGUAGGUGGUCGGGUAAGUCAGGUGUCAAAUUUCGGUGCUCAACACCGAACCGCAUUUGAUACUGCCCGGCUCGAGGAAUUGAGAGGAGGCCGGAAUUCACGGUGUAGCAGUGAAAUGCGUAGAUAUCGUGAGGAAGACCAACGGCGAAAGCAGGCCUCUGGAAAUUUCCUGACACUGAGGCUCGAAGGCCAGGGGAGCAAACG